CAAACGGUCUUUUUUAGGACCAUCGAAAAUGUUUUCUCAAGAGCUGU
rfam:Aedes albopictus isolate Foshan contig73803, whole genome shotgun sequence.